rnacentral:rRNA from 1 species
CCUACGGGUGGCUGCAGUGGGGAAUAUUGGACAAUGGGCGAAAGCCUGAUCCAGCCAUGCCGCGUGUGUGAAGAAGGCCUUCGGGUUGUAAAGCACUUUCAGUGGGGAAGAAAGCCUUGGGGCUAAUACCCUCGAGGAAGGACAUCACCCACAGAAGAAGCACCGGCAACUCCGUGCCAGCAGCCGCGGUAAUACGGAGGGUGCGAGCGUUAAUCGGAAUUACUGGGCGUAAAGCGCGCGUAGGCGGUCUGAUAAGCCGGUUGUGAAAGCCCCGGGCUCAACCUGGGAACGGCAUCCGGAACUGUCAGGCUAGAGUGCAGGAGAGGAAGGUAGAAUUCCCGGUGUAGCGGUGAAAUGCGUAGAGAUCGGGAGGAAUACCAGUGGCGAAGGCGGCCUUCUGGACUGACACUGACGCUGAGGUGCGAAAGCGUGGGUAGCAAACAGGAUUAGAUACCCCAGUAGUC